CAGUUAAACAGCAGCAAAUUUUGUCAGAUUUUUCCUGACAGCGGCCAACAAAAUCAGUACAAAGGCAGCUUUUUCAAAACAAGAACAUUCAAAGAUGCCCUGUGGCAUUCUGUUUACGCAAGAGGAAGUAAUAGGAGAAGGAAAUCAGCGCUGUAGCCACCAAGGAGGGCGCAGACACACCCAGUCGUGUAAAGCUUUCACUGCCUGCUGGAUGACAUCUGGGCUGCAGGAGCAGGAUUACCUCUCUCUAUAUGUUUGAUGCAGGGUUGGAUUGUGGCGCAGACGUGGAUCAAACGGCCUCAGCAAACACAACCCCAUCUGGCAAAAUAAAACGAGGCUGCAGGUUGGCAGUGGUGAGUGGGAGACUGACCUUGACCCAGAAAACCUGGCAUCCAUCCUCCAUGUCAGCAAGUGUCCACCCUGAUGAAUGUGUCACUGAACAACAGUGAUGCUGAGCUCCUGCCAGCUACAGAGGCGCUGUUCCAUAGCAGAACCAUGACCUCUGACCUUCCUGUGCAAAUAGAAAAUACCCCUUAGGAAAUACAAAAAUUAAACAUUACAUCAACUUAAAACAUUCCAUUGUUACUGCAAGGGAAAUUUGUAUCUCUGACUCUCUGAUAUUUGUUUUUGGGAUUUGAAAAGAUUUCACACACAAUUGGAACUCACAGAAUUUAAAAUUUAAAUAAGGAACCCCCCCCCCAAGAUGAGACGCGUUGUUUUUCUGAACAGCAGCCACAAGUGACAAUUACAGGAUAAACGUCAACAAUGUAAAUCAAUGAUACCAGUGGUGGAAGAAUGAAUCCAUUUUUUUUACUUAGGCCUAAGUAAAGAGAGAAAUACCACAAUGUAAAAACAAUCUGUAAAUGUAAAAGUUGACUGUUCAGGAAUAUACUGAAAUAAAAGCACACGAGU